rnacentral:piRNA from 1 species
AGGCCAUUGAUUGAUUGAUUGUCAGAAU